rnacentral:rRNA from 1 species
UACGUAGGUGACCAGCGUUGUCCGGAUUACUGGGCGUAAAGAGCGCGCAGGCGGUCGUUCAAGUCGAGUGUGAAAGCCCCCGGCUCAACUGGGGAGGGUCAUUCGAUACUGAUCGACUGGAAGGCAGGAGAGGGAAGCGGAAUUCCCGGUGUAGUGGUGAAAUGCGUAGAUAUCGGGAGGAACACCAGUGGCGAAGGCGGGUCUCUGGACAGUUCCUGACGCUGAGGCACGAAGGUCAGGGAGACGAAAGCGGGAUUAGAGUACCCGUA